rnacentral:rRNA from 1 species
UACGUAGGGGGCUAGCGUUGUCCGGAAUCAUUGGGCGUAAAGAGCGUGUAGGCGGCCCGGUAAGUCCGCUGUGAAAGUCGGGGGGCUCAACCCUCGAAUGCCGGUGGAUACUGUCGGGCUAGAGUGCGGAAGAGGCGAGUGGAAUUCCUGGUGUAGCGGUGAAAAUGCGCAGAUAUCAGGAGGAACACCGAUUGCGAAGGCAGCUCGCUGGGACGUUUACUGACGCUUGGAGGGCACGAAAAGCGUGGGGGAGCAAAACAGG